UUAAAGUUAAUGAGAUAAUUAAGUGAUUAAUUGAGUGAUGAUUGACCAUUAUUGACGAGACCUGAUGUUAACAUGCAGAAUCAACAAAGAUGAUAAUCACUAUUUUAUGUUGAUGUUUGCAUGUCUAACUGAAAGACUCUUUUGAAAGAUUUUUGAACAAACAACUUUUAAGAAAUUCCUCAGAUUGUAUUUAAAAUGCUGGAAAUAUUUUGUUGAAGAAUCAUAGGGCUGCAAUAUCCAACAAUGUAACUUUAACUCAGUAAUUCAGGAAUAACAAUACUCUUUGCUUGUCCGUCAGUUUUAUAACUCAGUUAUAACAGGCAAUUAAAAUCUGACUUGAACAUUUUAGGGGUCAAGAGCCCAACUCAAGCAAACACUGACCACUAUAAUGGU